AUCUUACAUAGUUCAGAAAAUAAAAUGCCUAAGCAGAAUGAGUGGAGUGCUCAUUGGGAAUGUUGCAGGUGUGAAUCUGCCAGAGAAGUUUUCAGAACUUCUCAUCUGUAAUAGAGGUAGAAAGAAGUUUGGUGGGUAUUAGGAAUAGGGUAGAUUUUUCCUGAACAGAGAGGCUACAACACAGAAACAACCCCAGCAUUAACUUGUCCUAAGUGGCAAACAGAAAGAUAGGACUGGGUGAGGAGCCUUCUACUGCAGGAGCACUGACAGGAGGACAAACUCCACGCAUUUCAGAGGAUUUGAAGGGGGUCUGGGCCACUCACGACUUACAGAGAAAGCCGCUGAGGAAGACCAGUAUAACCCUACUUAGAGACUUCUUCCAACCCAAUCUCUGGCUGCAGUCUUUUCUGGUCUUCAACCAAGGGAGUGCCCCAGUCUUUGGAUUUAUCCAGCACAGGACAAUUUGGGUACAGGGCCCAAAGAGGGUUCCCAACAGAGUGUAUAAGGACUCCAGUUCCUGAAACUGUCUUUUUCCAGCAGCAAAGAUGGCCACCAUUAAGAGUUGUGUCCAAAGUCUGCGUCUUGAUUCGGUGCUCCACCACACUCAUUUUCAUGGAGAAGAUCCCAUUCAGGACCUGGAAAGAUUCAAGCACCUUAAACUUUAGUUCUAAAUUUAGCUCCUCUGAGAAGAAGGUUGAGAUCCAGAGGUCCUAAAUGAAGCUGGAUGCUUUGGGAGACAGCUUGGGUUGGGUUAAAUUAAAGCUCAUUCUCUUGAGGGCUGUAGACACCACAAACAAAGCUUUCUCUACUGGGUUCAGCUACUGUAUUUAAUGCACUGAGUAACUCUUACUGUUCCUAGGGUUUCCUUUUUUUUUGGUUUUUUGUUUUAUUUGUUUUUGAGAGAGAGAAAGAGCAUGAGCAGGGGAGGGGCAGAGAGAGAGGGAGACACAGAAUCAGAAGCAGGCUCCAGGCUCUGAGCUGUCAGCACAGAGCCUGAUAUGGGACUCAAACCCAGGAACCAUGAGAUCAUGACUUGAAUGUAAGUUGGACGCUUUACCGACUGAGCCACCCAGGCGCCCUCCUAGGGUUUCCUAAAGCCUAGGAAUAAAGCUAACAGAAGAGGGCAAUACAUUUCACUUAACUAACUUUAACAGUAUAACCAAAGUUGUUUUUUUUCAAAUAGCUCAUGAAAGGCCUUGGUCAGAAUUUUGGUGGCAAUAAAAAUACUUGAACAUUAAUGCAUCUCUGUCCUCUAGAUCACCAGACUGUGAGUACAUUAAGAAUGAAACACCACCCCAGAUGCUAUAACCUUUGUAGGUCCGUAUUUCUUUUCCAAAAAAUGAAAAGAACAAAGUCACCACUCUCACAACUGGAACAAAAUGCCGUAGAAACUCA
ensembl:lncRNA